CUCUUCUAUCUAAUAAAGCAAUAGUAGCAUCUAAACAAAUUGUAUUAUUCACCCUUCAUUUUUAAAGAAGACCAAUGACAUCACAAUGUUGGGGCCAGGGUAAGUGAAAUAGUGACAAUGGGUAAUGAUGUGCACAGAUUUAAGUGAGGCAGAGUUGUACAAUCAGCCUCACUCUCUCUUACUGAGGCAUCAAUGUCUACUGGCAAAAAGGAAGUCAAGAUGACUGGUGACAGCCCAGAAUGCAGCAGAUGACUUUUGUCUCUCAAUGUCUGACCAAGCUCUGAGCACACCACAGCUCCUGCUUUAAACACCUUUGUGGCCACUGGAACAAAAUUGUUCUCAUCCACCCAUUCCAGCAGAAGAAAUCUCCACAUUCUGGGAGUCGCUGAAAUCCAGGUGUAAGACAAAAGUCAAGAUGACUAAUGACAGCUCAAGAUGCAGUGGAUGACUUUGGCUUCCUCAAUAUCUGACCAAGCUCUAAACAUUACAUAGCACUUGCUUUGGCUGCCUUCAUGGCCAUUGAAACAAA